rnacentral:rRNA from 1 species
UCAGAUUGAACGCUGGCGGCAGGCUUAACACAUGCAAGUCGAGCGGAGAUGAGGUGCUUGCACCUUAUCUUAGCGGCGGACGGGUGAGUAAUGCUUAGGAAUCUGCCUAUUAGUGGGGGACAACAUUCCGAAAGGAAUGCUAAUACCGCAUACGUCCUACGGGAGAAAGCAGGGGAUCUUCGGACCUUGCGCUAAUAGAUGAGCCUAAGUCGGAUUAGCUAGUUGGUGGGGUAAAGGCCUACCAAGGCGACGAUCUGUAGCGGGUCUGAGAGGAUGAUCCGCCACACUGGGACUGAGACACGGCCCAGACUCCUACGGGAGGCAGCAGUGGGGAAUAUUGGACAAUGGGGGGAACCCUGAUCCAGCCAUGCCGCGUGUGUGAAGAAGGCCUUAUGGUUGUAAAGCACUUUAAGCGAGGAGGAGGCUACUGAGACUAAUACUCUUGGAUAGUGGACGUUACUCGCAGAAUAAGCACCGGCUAACUCUGUGCCAGCAGCCGCGGUAAUACAGAGGGUGCGAGCGUUAAUCGGAUUUACUGGGCGUAAAGCGUGCGUAGGCGGCUUUUUAAGUCGGAUGUGAAAUCCCCGAGCUUAACUUGGGAAUUGCAUUCGAUACUGGGAAGCUAGAGUAUGGGAGAGGAUGGUAGAAUUCCAGGUGUAGCGGUGAAAUGCGUAGAGAUCUGGAGGAAUACCGAUGGCGAAGGCAGCCAUCUGGCCUAAUAYUGACGCUGAGGUACGAAAGCAUGGGGAGCAAACAGGAUUAGAUACCCYGGUAGU